UGCAUUAACUACUGUAAGUCGCUCUGGAUAUGAGCGUCUGCUAAAUGACUAAAA
rfam:Salmo salar isolate Sally breed double haploid chromosome ssa14, whole genome shotgun sequence.